rnacentral:rRNA from 1 species
UGGGGAAUAUUGCACAAUGGACGGAAGUUUGAUGCAGCGACGCCGCGUGGAGGGUGUAGGCCUUCGGGUUGUGAACUCCUUUUUCUCGCGAAAAAGGCACAGUUUUGGCUGUGUUGAUGGUAGUGGGGGAAGAAGCGCCGGCUAACUACGUGCCAGCAGCCGCGGUAAUACGUAGGGCGCGAGCGUUGUCCGGAUUUAUUGGGCGUAAAGAGCUCGUAGGUGGUUCGUCGCGUCUGUCGUGAAAGCCAGCAGCUUAACUGUUGGUCUGCGGUGGGUACGGGCGGGCUUGAGGGCGGUAGGGGUGACUGGAAUUCCUGGUGUAGCGGUGGAAUGCGCAGAUAUCAGGAGGGACACCGAUGGCGAAGGCAGGUCACUGGGCCGUUACUGACACUGAGGAGCGAAAGCGUGGGGAGCGAACAGG